UACGAAGGGGACUAGCGUUGUUCGGAAUUACUGGGCGUAAAGGGCUCGUAGGCGGCCAACUAAGUCAGACGUGAAAUCCCUCGGCUUAACCGGGGAACGGCAUCUGAUACUGGAUGGCUGGAGUUCGGGAGAGGGAUGCGGAAUUCCAGGUGUAGCGGUGAAAUGCGUAGAUAUCUGGAGGAACACCGGUGGCGAAGGCGGCAUCCUGGACCGACACUGACGCUGAGGAGCGAAAGCGUGGGGAGCGAACAGG
rnacentral:rRNA from 1 species